rnacentral:misc_RNA from 1 species
UUUCCGUAGGUGAACCUGCGGAAGGAUCAUUAUAGAAUAACCGAACUGCGAGUACUGUCGCUGACACGAAAGGUAGUACACCCUCGCGUCCCCUCACCCACAUCCAUCUCCCCCCUAUGUACACCACCGCGUGGCUCCGCCUGUGGCUCGCUCGCAGGCGCGCUUACGCUUUCACACAUACGUGGUAUGCAUUGUAGAAUGUAUAUUUUGUUUUUGAGAGCACGCAUUCUACACACCUUUCAACAACAGAUCUCUUGUCUGUCGCAUCGACGACCAACC